AACGUAGGAGACAAACGUUAUCCGGAGUUACUGGGCGUAAAGGGCGUGUAGGCGGUUGACUAAGUCUGGCGUGAAAGCUCGCGGCUAAACCGCGAGAGGUCGUUGGAUACUGGUUGACUAGAGGACGGUAGAGGCGUGGGGAAUUCCGGGUGUAGUGGUGAAAUGCGUAGAGAUCCGGAGGAACACCAGUGGCGAAGGCGACACGCUGGGCCGUACCUGACGCUAAAACGCGACAGCAUGGGUAGCAAACAGG
rnacentral:rRNA from 1 species